rnacentral:rRNA from 1 species
GAUGAACGCUGGCGGCGUGCCUAAUACAUGCAAGUCGAGCGAACGGACGAGAAGCUUGCUUCUCUGAUGUUAGCGGCGGACGGGUGAGUAACACGUGGAUAACCUACCUAUAAGACUGGGAUAACUUCGGGAAACCGGAGCUAAUACCGGAUGAUAUUUUGAACCGCAUGGUUCAAAAGUGAAAGACGGUCUUGCUGUCACUUGUAGAUGGAUCCGCGCUGCAUUAGCUAGUUGGUAAGGUAACGGCUUACCAAGGCAACGAUGCAUAGCCGACCUGAGAGGGUGAUCGGCCACACUGGAACUGAGACACGGUCCAGACUCCUACGGGAGGCAGCAGUAGGGAAUCUUCCGCAAUGGGCGAAAGCCUGACGGAGCAACGCCGCGUGAGUGAUGAAGGUCUUCGGAUCGUAAAACUCUGUUAUUAGGGAAGAACAUAUGUGUACGUAACUGUGCACAUCUUGACGGUACCUAAUCAGAAAGCCACGGCUAACUACGUG